UCCAGUCUAAUCAUCUUUCUCCGAUACUACCUCAACCUAACUCCAUCUCUCCUAAAACCAUCGAUAAUCAACCUUUCAUAGUACCUCAACACUAAGGUAUCUAAUUCAGGGGCGGAGUUAUGAUUUUUGCUGAGGGAGUUCAAAAUUUAAAGAGAAAUUAAUCGAAGGGAGUUCACCAUCUACGAUACAUACAUAAAAAUCAUUUUAAUCAUAUAUUAACACUAUACUUUUCCGUCGAAGGAAGUUCGGAUGAAUCCUAGUAAAAGGGUUGGCUCAGCCCCUGUAUUCGUACCCCCAGUAAAAAGGCUGGCACAACCCCUAAUACCCAUACAUCUUCUCUUUACAUGCUCAAAUUAUCUCAAUUUAACUUCUUGUAUUUUUUAUUAUAAC
rnacentral:lncRNA from 1 species